rnacentral:lncRNA from 1 species
UUUGUGCUCAUAUCUCUCCUCAAUCAUUUCAAGAAGAAUAAGUGGUAUGCUAAAUUCGUUGCUAGUCAUCAAUUAAACUUGAUGAAGGAUGAGCAUAACAUAAUUCUUAUUCUUGUUCUUCCUUCUUCCAAGAGAUUUCUAUUCUUCUUCCGGAGCGACUCAUGAUAUCAAUUCUUUUCUCAAGUGCUUAUCUUUCUUUUCCGAAGUUCCAAG